UGAAAUUCUGAGUUGAUUUGCAGAAGAAUU
rnacentral:piRNA from 1 species